UAGAUGACUUCUAUUGAUUAUGUUGCUGAACAGCUUCCUACAGAUCCUGAUAGCAAUGAUGUGGAUAUGCCAGCUGUGUCUAAAAAACACCACGAACCAUGCUUCCAAUCCUGAAGAAAUGGAAGAACGUCUAACAGCUAAGCUCUCACACUCCCAGGGAAAAAGCCGGAUUUAUGUGAAACGAAAACAAAAAAAAAACUAAACGAAAGUUAGAUGAAAUGAAGAAGAAAUUAAAAAGGAAAAAUAAGAAGAAGAGGUCCUGAAUUGCCAAACUUGCACAAGCCACCAUGGCAGCAUCUGUGUCAUCUACCUCAGGUCUUUCAGAGUUUAGCUAGUCUUCAGAGAAAAAUUAAAACCAAAAGUGAAAAUCUUGGUAGGCCAAGCUGAAGUUGAGAAGGCAUGAAGCAUUAAAGAGAAACAGGCAUGAAAUGGUGCUCUGCAAUUAGCUGAAGGUUUUCAGGUAAAGGACUGUGGAAUUGCUUGACAAAUAAAUUAAGAAACGAGAUAAAAUCAAAGAAAAAGUAAAAAAAAAUUGGGAUGAACGCAUCGAAGAAAGGGAUAAGGAGAGAAAAGCCAACAUUAAGAAAAAGAAAACUGAGAAGAAAGAACAUAAAGUGAAUAAAUUAAAGAAAAACAGGCAAAUGUAUCAUAUGAAAUACUGAUACUGUCUCAUGGAUGAGCUAAACUCGUGUUCUAUCAUGUGUAAGCCAUGUCGUGAUAGUUUUUUAUAACAAUACACUGGCAUGCUUCCUAUGAUCGGGGAAAAUUU